rnacentral:rRNA from 1 species
CCUACGGGAGGCAGCAGUGAGGAAUAUUGGUCAAUGGGCGCGAGCCUGAACCAGCCAAGUAGCGUGAAGGAUGACUGCCCUACGGGUUGUAAACUUCUUUUAUAAAGGAAUAAAGUGAGGCACGUGUGCCUUUAUGUAUGUACUUUAUGCAUAAGGAUCGGCUAACUCCGUGCCAGCAGCCGCGGUAAUACGGAGGAUCCGAGCGUUAUCCGGAUUUAUUGGGUUUAAAGGGAGCGUAGAUGGGUUGUUAAGUCAGUUGUGAAAGUUUGCGGCUCAACCGUAAAAUUGCAAUUGAUACUGGCAGUCUUGAGUACAGUUGAGGUAGGCGGAAUUCGUGGUGUAGCGGUGAAAUGCUUAGAUAUCACGAAGAACUCCGAUUGCGAAGGCAGCUUACUAAACUGCAACUGACAUUGAUGCUCGAAAGUGUGGGUAUCAAACAGGAUUAGAUACCCGGGUAGUC